AAUAGUUGGAAAGAAAACAAAGUUUGAGUUUUGGAUCAUACAUCACAUGCCUGAUGUGAACAGUAAAAAUAAAAAAAAUAAAAAAAAAAGAUGAUGAAGGCAGUUCCUAGGGGUGGAAGAGUUCAGUUUGCUGUGGAGUCAAAAUCUUUUGAGAUUUUGAUUGAUGAGUUAGGUGAUAAACUAAGAGGGUGCAUUUGGGAGAGAUGCAAAGGUAUAACAUCUUGGAUCAGAUUUAGGGACGUUAGUCUAAGUAGGUUGCUGGCCGGAGUUGAGUUUUGUUGCAGAGGCGGAGAUGAUAAAGGCUGGUCCCAUGCAUGGGAGGAGGAGGGUAGGAGUUACAGGCUGGAGAAACGUUUAAAUGAGGCGGGAAGAUUUAUCUUUUGCUCGGUCCGUGAUGUAGAGGCAAAACGUUUUUGCUUAAUCUUCCCAGAAGGGAAGGGGCUGUCAGGUGGGUGGAAUAUUUUGGCAGAGAAGCUGAGAGUGGUGGGAGUAGUCCCCAUUGGAAGCUUAAAGACUCCUCUGUUUAGAGAGGUGCAGAAGAAGGAAUUGGAACUAGAAACAAGGACCUAUGCGGAUGUAACAAAAUUUAGAGCGGGUAAAAUAGGAGAUAAGGUCUGGUUGGAGGUGGGAAGGAGGGUGAAGCCAGAAAGAGUUGAGCUAUUGGAUCGAUGUUUAGUGGGCAGGUGGGAAAAUGGUGUGAAUCCAUCACUAGAGCUGGAUUUUCUGAAGCAUUGGGCGGGUCAAGCUUGGCUCCUAAAAGGUAAUUUGAACAUAGAUGUUUUGGGAGGAGGAUUUUUGCUCUUUGAGUUUGAAUGUUCAAGUGAGGCUGAGCGUGUCUUGACGAGAGGGAAGAGAAGGGUGAAAGACAAUGAAUUAAUUCAGGAAAAAUGGCAUCCGGAGGUGGGUUGCUUGGGUAAUAAAGUCAUGGUUAAAGAGGCUUGGGUGAGAGUGGUGGGCCUUCCCCUUCAUCUAUGGAGUCGAGAGGUGUUUAAAUUGAUUGGGGAUGGCUGUGGUGGUCUGAUUAAAGUGGAUGAAAAAACGGUUUCUAUGGCCAAUCUUCAAUGGGCUAGAUUGUUGGUGAGGGUGGAAGGAAGGGAUUUCCCUUCCUCAGUUCAGCUGGUGGAGGGAUCGGGAUGUUAUUCAAUCCAGCUGUGGUGGGAAGUCCAGCCCUAGUAUUCUCAUGUGAUGCCGGCGGGAAGCGGGUGCCGGAAAGGUGAUACAGAGAUUGAAGAUGAGGAAGGGAGUGGGUUAGGUGACGUGUGCAGAGGAAACGUGUUGGAGAAGGAGGCGCAGCUUGUGGAGCAGAUGGGAAUUCAGAGUGAGCCGCCCUGUGGAAGCUCCUCGAAAGGAGCUACAGUCUUCUCUAUGGAGCCAGCUGCAAGGGGGCCUAGUGUGGAGGAGACUGAUGGAGAGGAUAGGCUAGAGAAUAGGGGUCAGGGAGCAGGUAAAGUGGUCAUAAGGGAUGGUGUUGGGUUGGGGCCUGCCGCCAUUAAGGUUGGGCCUGAUAUUGGGGAGGCCUAGAUUAGAAGUAGGCUUGGGGUAAUGAAGAGCAGUCCAGACCGUGAGGAAGCCCAGUUGUUUGGGCCGGAGGAAGCAAAGCCCAUUAUAUUAAAAGGAUGGCAGAUGGGCUGUGAGGAGAAGCCCUUUUAUAUCAAGGGCUCCUUAGUGGGCUGGGAAGGUUUGGCCGAGAUGGGCUGUGGGCCCGUGGAAGAGGGUUUAAAAGGUAUUAGGGCUUUCUCUCUCGCUGACGAAGUGGAAAUGGGAGCUAGGGCUACUGAGGAGGAUUCGCGGGCUGGUGUUAGAGACGACGAGGGGGUCGCCUGCUGUCACAGAGGGG
rnacentral:lncRNA from 1 species